rnacentral:RNase_P_RNA from 1 species
GUAGGAAGGUGUCUAACUUUCGAGAUUAUCUUGAGGAAAGUCCGUCCACCAAUUAUAGGUUGCUUCUGCAAAGAAGUCCCAGAAAUGGGAGGCAACCGCUAAGAAACGACACGGCCUAUUAGAGCAAGGAUGUUGUGAAAGUUUUAGUAAUAGAACUGAGAUAACCAACUGAGUAUUUUGAUAGGAUACGUUGAAACGACGAGUCCCAACCGGUGCAAGUCUUAGACGCUUAGUUGAAUGUUAGAAUGAACUUUCAAUGAUCCAUUUUUAAUGGUUAGAGUUCAACAGAAGAUGGCUUAUGCCUUCCUAC